rnacentral:rRNA from 1 species
AGUACGGGCGCAAGCCUGAAACUCAAAGGAAUUGGCGGGGGCCCGCACAACCGGUGGAGCGUCUGGUUCAAUUCGAUGCUAACCGAAGAACCUUACCCGGGCUUGACAUGCCAGGGUAACCUCUGCGAAAGCGGAGGGUUUUCAUUCCUCUGGAAUGAACCCUGGCACAGGUGGUGCAUGGCCGUCGUCAGCUCGUGUCGUGAGAUGUUGGGUUAAGUCCCGCAACGAGCGCAACCCCUGCCUCCAGUUGCUACCCCGUUUGGGGAGCACCCUGGAGGGACUGCCGGCGACAAGCCGGAGGAAGGUGGGGAUGACGUCAGGUCAGUAUGCCCUUUAUGCCCGGGGCCACACAGGCGCUACAGUGGCCGGGACAAUGGGAUGCGACCCAGCAAUGGGGAGCCAAUCCUCAAACCCGGUCAUGGUGCGGAUUGUGGGCUGAAACUCGCCCACAUGAAGCCGGAAUCGGUAGUAACGGGGUAUCAGCGAUGUCCCCGUGAAUACGUUCUCGGGCCU